rnacentral:rRNA from 1 species
UGGUGCCUAUAGCGCGGGGGAAACACCUCUUCCCAUUCCGAACAGAGAAGUUAAGCCCCGCAGCGCCGAUGGUACUG